UGCUGCAUUAAGCUAGGCAAAACGGAGCAAGACACCCGAGAGCAAUUAACAAGCUAUUUUUAACAGUCUCUAACUUAAAGUUAUGUACUUUUCAGAGGCCUUUAUGUGUUUUACUCUCGACCAAAACCAGGCAGAGCGUGUGUUUGUUUCUUGGGAACUCCGACUGGUUUUUUGUGAUCCUGGAUCUGAAGUGGUUCUGGAUAUGGAUGGCGAGCCAGACCCUGUGAAAACUCUUGGCGAAUCCAAAAGCAGUGUGGCCAGCUGUUCUGGAUGCAGGAGUAGAGCUACAGCCUGACUUACUUCGGAUCACAGGAUUUCAGAUAAGCAAGAGCAAAAACUGCUUACUUCAUACGGAUCGUUUCUCUGGAAACUAUUGAACUCACAAUAUCCUGUUCAUCAGGAGUCAGGUCUAAAGAGACUACUUAUUUUAUUUUAUUUUAUUUUAUUUUGUUGUUAUUUUCAAAAGAGCGCUCUUCUCUGCACUGUAAUCCCUAACAGUUGUUCUAGCUCAUAACUAAUAAGCUCAUAACACUCAAAUGUCGUUUUGUAGUUGAGCAAACUAUAAAGUAUUGAGCUCUGUUGGCUUUUAUGCAACUUUAAUUGAAUAGGGCUCAAUAUUUUUUAGCUAAUUUGUUUGGAACGCUCAAAAAGUUUAAGAAGCAUAUAUUAGUGACGUUCUGGUGGGUGGAGUCUUGUCGCUCCCUCAGGAAAGCUGAGUCAGCCAUCUUGAAUUUACCUUGAUGUGGGGAAGAUUUGGCCUGCCCGUGUGGAUUAAGAGUCCCCAACUUCAACCUACAACGACCACCACCUUAAUUUUUUUCAUCAACUGCCCUAAAUUUGAUUAGAGGGGUAUUCCACUAAGCGAGCUCUACAAGUCAAGACUGGGCAGUGGGUCCAUGAAUAAACUGCCUCACUCCUGCAGGUGUCUGUCCAUACUUCCCAUCGUUCAAGAACCAAAAGAUGGCUGCUGCCCAGAAGCAUGUGCUGCAUGUGUAUGUUGA